GUUUUAUUGUUAUUAAUAAAUAGCAAUUACAACACCUGUCAUAUGGACAACCGACUCGUAAGAGACUAUUUAAAUAUUGUUCCUCAACAAUGGAAAUUUCGAGUAGAAUUUACACAUUUAUCAGACCUAGUAAGUGUUCUUGGCCUCGUUUCUGUCACUGAAGUUGAACAGAAUUUUAGAACCAAAACGAGGAUGAAAAGGCUAUAAUUAAGAUUCAUAUAAAAGAAUACUUGAACCCGUCUUUAUUAUUAAAGUGGUCAAAAGGUUG